UGGGGAAUUUUGGACAAUGGGCGCAAGCCUGAUCCAGCCAUGCCGCGUGCAGGAUGAGGGCCUUCGGGUUGUAAACUGCUUUUGUACGGAACGAAAAGACUCCUUCUAAUAAAGGGGGUCCAUGACGGUACUGUAAGAAUAAGCACCGGCUAACUACGUGCCAGCAGCCGCGGUAAUACGUAGGGUGCGAGCGUUAAUCGGAAUUACUGGGCGUAAAGCGUGCGCAGGCGGUUAUAUAAGACAGGUGUGAAAUCCCCGGGCUCAACCUGGGAACUGCAUUUGUGACUGUAUAGCUAGAGUACGGCAGAGGGGGAUGGAAUUCCGCGUGUAGCAGUGAAAUGCGUAGAUAUGCGGAGGAACACCGAUGGCGAAGGCAAUCCCCUGGACCUGUACUGACGCUCAUGCACGAAAGCGUGGGGAGCAAACA
rnacentral:rRNA from 1 species